GGUGGGAUGCCCGAGUGGCCAAAGGGAGCGCGCUGUAAACGCGCCGGCUCAGCCUUCGAAGGUUCGAAUCCUUCUCCCACCACCA
rnacentral:tRNA from 1 species